UUAAGUUCAGCGGGUAGUCCCACCUGAUUCGAGGUCAGAUUGAUAAAAUUUGUCGAUGAAGACGAUUAGAAGCAAUCCAUAAAGUUUCGAUCUGGCCAUCUUGCGAUGUCCUCGACGUUAGAUAAUUAUCACGCCGAGUAGAACCAAGUCUCACUAGGAUCAGCUAAUAUCUUUCGGACCAGCCGUUUGUUACACAGCAG
rnacentral:misc_RNA from 1 species